rnacentral:rRNA from 1 species
GACGAACGCUGGCGGCGUGCUUAACACAUGCAAGUCGAACGGAAAGGCCCUGCUUUUGUGGGGUGCUCGAGUGGCGAACGGAUGAGUAACACGUGAGUAACCUGCCCUUGACUCUGGGAUAACUUCAGGAAACUGGGGCUAAUACCGGAUAGGAGCUCCUGCUGCUUGGUGGGGGUUGGAAAGUUUCGGCGGUUGGGGAUGGACUCGCGGCUUAUCAGCCUGUUGGUGGGGUAGUGGCUUACCAAGGCUUUGACGGGUAGCCGGCCUGAGAGGGUGACCGGCCACAUUGGGACUGAGAUGCGGCCCAGACUCCUACGGGAGGGAGCAGUGGGGAAUAUUGCACAAUGGGCGGAAGCCUGAUGCAGCAACGCCGCGUGCGGGAUGACGGCCUUCGGGUUGUAAACCGCUUUCGCCUGUGACGAAGCGUGAGUGACGGUAAUGGGUAAAGAAGCACCGGCUAACUACGUG